rnacentral:lncRNA from 1 species
AUAGAAAGUUUUUCGAGUUAUUUUGAUAUUAUUUGAUGUAAUAAAAUAGAAGUUUAUUUGAUGUAAUAAAAACCCUAACCUAACCUAAUUAAAAACCCUAACCCUAACAUAACCUAAUUAAAGACCCUAACCCUAACCCUAACCUUAACCUAACCUAAUUAAAAACCCUAACCCUAACUUAACAUAAUUAAAAACCCUAACCCUAACCUAACCUAAUUAAAAACCCUAACCUUAACCUAACCUAAUUAAAAACCCUAACCCUAACCUAACUUAAUUAAAAACCCAAAGCCUAACAUAACUUAAUUAAAAACCCUAACCCUAACCCAACCUAAUUAAAAACCC